UAGGCGGGGAAGCAGCUGGAGUGCGACCGCCGCGGCAGCCACCCUGCAACCGCCAGUCGGAGGUGCAGUCCGUAGGCCCUGGCCCCCGGGUGGGCCCUUGGGGAGUCGGCGCCGCUCCCGGGGAGCUGCAAGGCUCGCCCCUGCCCGGCGUGGAGGGCGCGGGGGGCGCGGAGUGAAGAGAGGAAAUUGGAAAAUUGUGAGUGGACCUUCUGAUACUGCUCCUCCUUGCGUGGAAAAGGGGAAAGAACUGCAUGCAUAUUAUUCAGCGUCCUAUAUUCAAAGGAUAUUCUUGGUGAUCUUGGAAGUGUCCGUAUCAUGGAAUCAAUCUCUAUGAUGGGAAGCCCUAAGAGCCUUAGUGAAACUUUUUUACCUAAUGGCAUAAAUGGUAUCAAAGAUGCAAGGAAGGUCACUGUAGGUGUGAUUGGAAGUGGAGAUUUUGCCAAAUCCUUGACCAUUCGACUUAUUAGAUGCGGCUAUCAUGUGGUCAUAGGAAGUAGAAAUCCUAAGUUUGCUUCUGAAUUUUUUCCUCAUGUGGUAGAUGUCACUCAUCAUGAAGAUGCUCUCACAAAAACAAAUAUA
rnacentral:lncRNA from 1 species